AACGAACGCUGGCGGCAGGCUUAACACAUGCAAGUCGAACGCCCCGCAAGGGGAGUGGCAGACGGGUGAGUAACGCGUGGGAAUCUACCCAGUUCUACGGAACAACUGAGGGAAACUUCAGCUAAUACCGUAUACGCCCUACGGGGGAAAGAUUUAUCGGAAUUGGAUGAGCCCGCGUUGGAUUAGCCAGUUGGUGGGGUAAUGGCCUACCAAGGCGACGAUCCAUAGCUGGUCUGAGAGGAUGAUCAGCCACACUGGGACUGAGACACGGCCCAGACUCCUACGGGAGGCAGCAGUGGGGAAUAUUGGACAAUGGGCGAAAGCCUGAUCCAGCCAUGCCGCGUGAGUGAUGAAGGCCCUAGGGUUGUAAAGCUCUUUCAGUGGGGAAGAUAAUGACGGUACCCACAGAAGAAGCCCCGGCUAACUUCGUGCCAGCAGCCGCGGUAACAC
rnacentral:rRNA from 1 species